rnacentral:lncRNA from 1 species
CCUUGACCAAGACACCUGUGCUUACGCGGUGGCGUCCACAGGCAAGCGCUGUGUGCUCGAGAAGCACGUCAAGAGGAGCGGUGAAGAAGAAUACACUUGCCGUACCUCCGAGAUCGAAGCCGAUAAGAUCAACAACUGGAUCGAAACUGAUCAGUGCGUUAAAUCGUGCGGCCUCGACCGGAAAUCAUUCGGUAUCUCCUCCGAUUCCCUCCUCGAGUCUCGCUUCACCGAAAUGCUUUGCUCUCCUCAAUGCUACAACGGUUGCCCCAACAUCAUCGAUCUUUACUUCAACCUCGCCGCCGGAGAAGGUAACAUUUUAGUUUUAGCGUUAAAUAACAACUCGAAUACGAGACCCAACAUAACCGUGUCUUGUCUUUGGCAGGUAUUUUUCUUCCGAAAUUAUGUGAAGCACAAAAAGGAAACAUACGUAGAGGAAUGUCGGAGAUUCGGAGCUCCGGUAUGGUUGCCCCGGGACCCGUCGGCGGUGUGAAGUUUUGGGGAGUUGCUCCGGCAAUGGCCCCAUACUAAAAGCUUUCGGGAAAUUUUCAUAAAGUUGUAGUAAUUUUGAAAUAAAGGGAAAGUUGCACUAUAGCUAAGGGUUUUUCUUAAAGCCGGGUUCUUUAAGUGCAUGAACCGGCGUAUAAUUUGGUUCGUGCAUGAUUUUGAGCCAUGAGCUUGGUGUGUUCAACCCAAUAAGAUGCCACUUUCUAUUAAAUAGGUUUGCUUAUUGUAAUGGGUGUGAAAAAGAAACAAUGUUAUGAAAUUUAUAAAAGUAUACUUAUAUUUGUGUGAUUUAUUCUAAAUUUGCAACCUUUCUUUGUGUUAAUAUUAUGGGAUGGAAAAUGAUCCAAAAAAAUGAAAAUCAUAUUUACCUCCUGAGUUUGUUUUUUUUUUUUCCUUCAAAUAACGCCGUGCAUUGUGGUUUAAACCCUCCCAAAAGCACAACGCUGCCUAUUUUUCUUCAAAUUUUGACUGCCAAAAGAAUAAUUGUGCUCCAUAAUCGAGGAAUCAACUAUUUGAUAUAUUUAUUUCAAAGCCCCAGUUUAUUGCUUUGUUGCAAAUCAUAAUAUAACAACCCGUUUUUUAGUGGUGUCCGAAACAGUAGUUUCGGGGCCAUCAAGUUCGACGAGUAAGUUCGUAAAUAUUAUUAUUUAAUAUUUACGAGUUAAAUGUGAUUUUUAAAAAGGUUUUUGAUUUGAUAAUUUAUGUUAUAUAAGUGAUUUAUUAAGUCCAAAUGGUUUUAGAAAAUAAGGUACCGGGACUUUGUUUUUAUAAAUUGAGCCAUAAAUAUUUUUAUAAAUAUUUACGGAAUGUCAUUAAGGUAAUAUUAAAGCUCCGUUAAGAAAUUUUGAGAUGGCAAUUCCAACAAUUUAUUCCACACAUUAUUUUGGGAAAGAAAACGUAAAAGACAAUUAUUUAGAGAAGUAACACCUAAUUUGAGAAAUAAAGAUCAUUUGAAAAAUCAAAGUCUUUAUAAUAAACAACUCAUGGAUUUUGGGGUUAAGCUCCAACCGUCCGAUAAUUCCCAAAUUAUUAAGACUUUAAAAAAAAUGAAACUUUGGGAAAAAAAUAAAAAUAUCUUUCAUUUAAAAUUUUUCUAAGAAUUGUACAUCAUUAAUUUAAAUUAAUUUAAAAUUUAACAAUGAUAAAAUUAAAUAAAAUAAACCAUAAAAUUAUUACAUAAUUUAACAUAUGGAAAUAAUGAAAAUACUGAUUCGAAAUAAGGAAUUCGGAUGAUUAACUUGCAAAUCAAUUAAAUCGAUUUUUAUGUUUUUUAAUAAUUUAUUCUAUUAAAUUGAAAAAAAUAAUUAACUUAAAAAUCGAUAAUUUAACGGAGCUGAUUGAAAUUUUGAAAACCUUAAUUUUUUAUUUUUUAUUUAUAAAUUACAGUGUUCCCAAAAGUUUGGGUGAAAGGGUCCCAAAGUACGUUUGAUCACUCCUUUCCUUUUUCUUUUGGGUCAAAAUGUUGUCUUAAAAUUCGGUGCAAAAGCCCAUGAAUUUACUCCAUAAUCGUGGGGAGUGGGAACUACAAUGGUCAAAACAAUAACCGUCUUGAAGAGAAACAUACGUACAAUUUUUGCCGUAAUUGACGCUCUGUCAAACAAAUUUCCACAUCUUGGAAAUGUAUUUAGCAGCCCGUCCUAACAAAAAUUCUGAUAGUGAAAUAUUUAGUACUUAAACUUUGUUAAUUUUUUUAUUUUGGUCUUUGAACUUUCUUUUAUUCAUAUUAGAAUAGUUUUUGAAUUUGAAUUCGGUUAAAAUAUGACAAUGUGACCCUCUGAAAUAAUUUCUUUAUAUUUUUGUGUUUUUUUAGAUUUGAUAUAUUUUUAAAAGUUUAAAAUUUUGCCGAGCUCAAUAAGAGAUUUGUUGAUUGAUGAUCGUAAUGGCUCUAAAUCAGUUUAAUAUAAAUUAGUUGAUAUAAUUGUUUUGUGAUGUAUUUUUUAUGUAAAAAAAAUAUUAUUUUGAUAGAAUAUAAAAUGGUUUAUAUGUACUCAUUGAUGCUAUAUAUUAUAGAAUGUUAAUUAAUAAAUGAUAAGUUAUCACCUCAUUCUGAAGAAAAUCUAAAAGUUGUUUAUUUUCAGAAUGAUGAGGAUAUCAUCCAAAAUUCUUUAGAUUAUUUUUUAUUUUUUAAUUUAUAAUUAUUUUUUAAUAAUUGGGUUCAGGGUAAAAUCGUUUUUACCUUGUCUGACUUUCCAUUUCAUUAUGAUUUUUAUAUUAUUUUUUUUAUAAAUAAUCUUACUUAAACUCUUUUAAAUAUUAUUUUUAUUUUUCAUAUUAUUUAAUUAAAUAUUUAUGAUAAAAAAGUUAUAUGACAAAUAUUUAUGAUACACCCGUGAUGUAAGUGAAAAAAAUUCAAGUAAUAAUUAUAUUUAUAAAACAUUAUAAUAAAAUAAAUUAAUUAAAAUGAUAAAAUUAAAGUUUUGAAAGAUAUAUCUUAAGUUUAAAUCGCAUAAUAUUUAUUUCUUUUUCUAGAUUUAUAUAAAAAUAUUAAAAAUAAAAACUUCUCACAAUAACAUUUCUUAAAAAGAAUUGCAUGUAUAUGGCGUGUUUGCAUUUGAAAGGUUGGCAUAAAAGGAGGCAGGAAAAUUGCCGUAAUUGGAUGCAUUGUUAAUGGUUUUUCUACAUGCAUAAAAUCUAAACGGGUUUAGAAUAUACUUUGUUAUAUAUAGAUUAUACUUAAGAAAUUAUUAAUUAUGUAUUAAAUAUGUUUAUAAAAAAAUAAUUUAGAUUUUGAAAUGUUAAAAAUCAUAAAUUUUUCAUUUUUAAGAUUUAUUUUAAAUUUAAAUUGAAUUUUAAUAACUUUUAUAUAAAAAUAUAAAAACACUUUCAAAUAAUAUUUUUUUACUUUUUCUGAAAUAAUUUUUUUAGAAUGAUUUAUUAGUCGAUUAAGUUUGUGACGUCACAUUACAUAUAAAAUCCAAUGCUACAUAAAUAUCAUGUUUAAAGUUUAAACACGUGUAAAAGAAAUCUGCUUCUUUGCUUACGACCUGCCAAGCGGGGGUCACUAACUUCAUAGUUACGAAGGAAUUCCAAAUAACGACCUUUUACUGUCACUGAACAUUAAAGUAAGGUUCGUGUCAAUUUCUAACUCGAAAAAUCAACCAUGUGAGUUGAUUUUUCAACUCUCCACUGCCAAACCCCCCAAAUAAACCCACUAUAAAACACCCUUUUCUCAACCCCUUCCCCCCAUCAAUCUUGCCAUACCUGUUAAUAAACACAACAAAAAUCUCAGCUAGCUAGCUUUUCCCCUCCAUUAAAAUCCAUGGCUUCCACCAUUAGCAGGAAGAUGACCUUGGCUAUCCUUGCUCUGGCAUUAUUCUCCUAUUGCUUACAAGCCACACUAGGUUAAUUUGCAUUAUUUGUUACGUUAAAUAGCAUUGAUUUAAGCCUUUUAAGAUUAUAACUAUAUGCGUGUGUGUGUGUGUUUUGUUGUAGGGGAAAUAAUAUGUGAACACCUUGACCAAGACACCUGUGCUUACGCGGUGGCGUCCACAGGCAAGCGCUGUGUGCUCGAGAAGCACGUCAAGAGGAGCGGUGAAGAAGAAUACACUUGCCGUACCUCCGAGAUCGAAGCCGAUAAGAUCAACAACUGGAUCGAAACUGAUCAGUGCGUUAAAUCGUGCGGCCUCGACCGGAAAUCAUUCGGUAUCUCCUCCGAUUCCCUCCUCGAGUCUCGCUUCACCGAAAUGCUUUGCUCUCCUCAAUGCU